CUUUUUCUUUUUUCUUUUUUAAUUUUUUGGCCACACCUGCAGCAUGUUCCCAGGCCAGGGAUCAGACCGGCACCAGAGCAGUGACCCUCUGCUGCAGUGGCAAUGCCAGUGCCAGGUCCUGAACCCACUGCACCACCAGAGAGCUCCGAAAUCUCCAUAUUCUUUUCCACACCGAAGGAAUCACACUGUUCUACGCACACUCCCGUGACUCGCUCACCCCUUCGUCGGGUCUUUCGUCCCAUCACUUGAUUAAACUGCUUUCCUGCAGGCAGUGCACCUCUGAUCAUUUAUCCUUCUUGCCCCAAACUUUGAAGAGCCUUUUGGAAUCAGAUGAACGAAGGGUCAACUUUUAAGCUCUGAAUGUAAAUCAUGCUCCCCCUUUGAAUGGCCCCAGCUUCAUCUUUCAAAAUGUUUCUAAUACUACCCCAUAAUGUGCUUGAAAUUGACUAUUUAAUAAUAUACUUUUCUGUAGUUGGUGAGCUUAGCUGUCUCCACAUUUGAGAAGUCAUCCCUGUCUCUGACCAAGCCCUCUGAUGUCCCCUUGCUUGUCAUUAUACCGCCACUCCUGGUGUGAGGUCUGACCUAGGGUGGGUAUUUGACCUGAUGAAGGAAUGAAGAUACAUUCAACAUAGAGCUUAAUCUUGGAUUCUGAGGGGAAAAAAAAAAAAGUUCCCUUUGCAUGUCUGAAUCUCACAAUUGGGGUGCCCUUAGGAACACUACAAGUGAAAAGGUACCAUUUUCUAUAUUCUCUAAAUGAGAAAGGCAUGUGGUUUUGAAUAAAUGAAUGAAUGGAUGAUAAAAGAAAGGUAUAACCAGCUUCAAUAUGUUUUAUUCAUAUUAAUAAGGAGUUGCGUUCGAUUGCAGUGGGCAGCCACAGACCAAAAAUAAAUAAAUAAUUAACUAGGUAGCUUCCAUGGUUAUAAUUUAAAAUUUAUUUCAUAUUCUCCUACUUUAAUUAAAUAAGUAUGCACGGCUGACGGACCCAAUGUAGGUUCAUUCUUGUAUUAGGAACCGUGAUAGCAAAAGACAAACAGAACAUUAAUUUAAUGAAGGUUAUAGGGUUUGGAAUAAACUUGAAAGAAACUGAAUACAUGCAAAGGGUUGUUGGGGAGAGGAAAAUUUCCCUUUCUAGCCUUCUUGAGUUCCUGUGGCUGGACCAAUAAUAAAACUAACACAAGACAGAUUAACAGGAGAAAAAGAAACAAAUUUUAAUGCAUAUGCAUGGAGGUCCCAUAGAAAGGGGACUUUAGGAGUGGCAAAAGCAGGCAGAUUUUAUAAUACUUUGUCUAAAGAAAAAGAAGCAAUAAAUUUGCGAGGCACUGACAGGACAAAGAGACUUAAAUUUUGGGGUGUCCAAUUAGUGAAAAAUUUAGACAGAAUUUGGGCUGAGCCUCGUAAAGCUAAGUAAUGAAACCUUGCAAUAACCCUUCCUCUGCUCCAGACUCCAGCAUUUCUGUUUGGCCUUACUGUGCAUCAGCCAUGAACUUGCCUUCAGCGACAGUAACCAGGUUUGUUCAUUCAGGCUUCUGGGCCCCGAUUCCCUAUCCUUGGUGCUAAGGGCAUCCUUCUACCUCCAGAUUCAGGGAGUGCAUGCACCUUUAAUAUGAGAGAUUCAUUUUCUGCCUUCAGGCGGGUCAGCAUGUCCCUCUUGCUUUGGCUGUUUCUUAAGUAACUUUAAUUUAAAAUAAUUCCAUUUUCAGGUGGCCUGAUCUGGGCCCCAACAAGGUCUUCUUGUGGAUUUCUGAAUUUUAACAUUUCCUUCAACAUGCUACAUACUACAACAUAUCUUCUUUAAUUAAUAAUUUAUUUGCCUCAAUCUCUUUUUUUUUCUUUUUCCAUUUAUGGGUAGAGUCAACCAAACUGGCAUCAGAAUCUGUCAUCCAGGUUACUGCUCUUCUAUACUCCCUCUUCUUGUAUUUUUAAAAAACCAAAAAGGUCCAAUUUCUUACAGUUUUCCUGCAUGUCUAUUACCAUCCUGUAUGGCAGGUUUGCCUUCUAGAUGUUUUAUCCUAAAACUUUGUUUAGCAGUCCCUCCUUUCCCUACGGCUUCUUUCAAAUAUUUUCUGAAUGUGUGUCCUCUGAAACAUGCUACCAUUUGCUUAUAGUUAUUGUGCAUCAUCUGCUGCAGAAGGAUCCCAUCCAUCCUACUUCCUGCACUGCCAGGAUGUGCCAGAAAACUUUGCAUGGAGCAGACAUUCUUUUUUUUUGGCGCUUGCCUGUGGGAGCAUCAUAAGAAGCAUCAGAAGAUGUAUGAGAAUUUGUUCUAAUCAACUGAAGAAUGCUUUCUGAAUACAGUUUUAUAGCAAAAAAAAAAAAUAGUGGUGGCUAUGUAAAGAUUUGAUAUAAAACUGCACAACGAAUUUCUAUAAUAAUAACAAUAAUAAUUCUAUAGUUAAAGAAGAAUAAGUACUAUAGAUACAAUCAGGACACUUUCAUAUCAUGGUUGACCUAGCAAAAAACACAACUUAUUAUUAAUGUUUUCGCUCUUUCUCUGGGCAACCAGAAGUCAUCACUGCCGUGGUUUUAGGAUCUGGUACUGUUCUUAAUGAUGGAAAAUUUUGUGAGUGGUUGCCGGGUCUAGAAGGCAGUCUGCUCACAAAUGUUUCCCAAAUUUUUAUGGCAAUUCCGGCCAGGAUCUUGUGGUCUUUUAUUACCUUAAGUCUAGGAGAAAAAUGGAUGAGAAUAUCAGGGAGGAAGAAAUUUUUCUCUAUGCUUCUAAGUUCUUCUGGCUGGUCUAAGAAUGAAAUUGACAUGAUAAAGAUUAACAGGAGAAAAUCAAACAAAAGUUUAACAGCAUGUAUGCCUACACAGGAGAGAGCCAGAAACCCCGAAUAACUCACCCAAAUGGCAGAAGCCCUUAUCUUAAGUAUCAUUCUUAGCUAAGACAAAAGAGGAUGGUGAGGGGAGAGGGUCAGUUAUGGGGUUACCAGGACAAGCACAGUCAGCAAGGGUAAGGUUGUGAUGCAGAUUUAAGUUCUUGCCUUCUCCAUUGAUAAGACUGUCUAGACGUUUUGUCAUCUCCCCCCCCGCUCCAGGAGACAUCCUCAAGAAUGGAGAUUUCCCUUACACAGGUAAAUAUUUCCUACAAAAGGGCAACUCGCACUUGAUUUUCAGAGUUUUCUCCGGGAAUGCUGUUUCCUAGAAAGUAACCAGCUCAAAAUAAUUAAUAUGCCAAAGAGACAUAAUUUAGAAUGGCAAAUUCGGCUCCUCUCUAAGAAUUUGAGACUAGGAUUAUCUGAUUAAUAACCUGACUUCAAUAUACAGACUAUUAUUUUUCCAAAGGCCCAUCUGCCUGCAGGGAACAUGGAGGUGAGAGGGGGUGUGGUAGAGGGUGGAGAAACUAGAACUGCUAGUGUAGAAAUGCGGAGAGAAGGAAUUCACUCAAAGUAGAUGAUAUAAGAAGUCCGUGAUAAUGUGAGAAAAAAGGAUGUACACUGGGUCACCAUGCUAUACUUCAGAAAACUGACAGAACGCUAUAAACCAGCUAUAAUGGAAAAAAGAAUAACAAAAAUCAUUAAGUAAAUAAAUAAAUAAAUAGAAGUCCAUUUUCUUCCAAGCAAGGCUACUGCCCUGAGGGAGUAUCCUCCAAAUUUCUUUAAUUUUCUUCCACUCAUCACAGUUUAAGCCUAGGUUUCUCUCGGUAUGUAUGGAAGAUACCAAUGCUUCCUUGGACAGCAAGACCAGGGGCUUUCUAUUCUAUGGCAAAAGGAGAGGGUGACAGGAGAAGGGAGUGGCCAGGUGUGUGAUUGCUAAGUCCCAGAGUGCACGUGUGUGUGUGUGUGUGUGUGUUGCACGGGUAGAGAGGGACACCUGUGUGGGACUAAAGAAGCCUGCAAACAUGCCAUCCAGGGAUCUCUUCACCUCUCUGAAGAUACUGCAAACACCUAAACAUCACUUGGAAGAAGAACUCUUGGGGUGGGGGGUAAAGGGUUUCAGAGGCAAGGAAUACCAAGUAAUAUAUAAUCAAAGGAACAUUUUACAUUAUAGGACUGGCUAAAUUUAUGGUGCUAUGCACCUUUUCCACCAUAGAAUCACUUAAAUUUCUUACCCCAUACACACGUAUGUGUAAAAUAUAUAUGAGUUUUAAAACUUUUAGCAGAUUAUAAGAAAAUAUUUUCCAGGUGGGUGGGAAAAACACAAUCAUCAAAACUGGAAGACUUUUGAGAGUGAAAGGGGUAUAUUAAUACUCAGCCAGAAAGGCAUACACCACGACCACUCCACGACACCUGGGACCCUCCUACAGAAAAAGCUGAAUUCUGUUCAAAAUGUGAAUUUUUCUUAGAUUGGGAUGAGGUAAGGGAAAAAACUUGUACCUUAAUGUAUACAUUGGCUGAAAAAUAGUAUAUUUCCUUGGGCCGAAGAGAGCUUACUUACACCCGUAAGAAUUAAAUUGUUCUAUUUCGGAAAUAAACAGAAAUUUUGGUGGAUGCAAGUUGGCUAAAAAGGGAAGAUAAGAAAAGCCCUUUGACGGAAAGAAUUACUUACGAAAAUAACAUUACUUGAGCACCUGAUAACUAGGGUUGGGGGGGAGGGGCGUGCUUGGCCAGAAAUUUACAUUGGAGG
rnacentral:lncRNA from 1 species